GUCAUCAUGACUGACUAGCAAGCUUUUUUUUUCUGACCAGGGGAUAUAAAAUUAUAGCAAGUAUUUUAUUUAUUUUUUGACUCUGUAGUAAAAUGAUAAUGCUUCUUUGCUUGACUUGUCAAGAACUUCCUUUGUUUAGAUUUAAUUUGAUAUGACUGAAUCCUCUAGAAAUAAUGCAUUUAAAAGAGAAGGCAACAGCUCAGAAGAUGGGCAUCUAUGCAAACAGCCAUGUUUCUGCCUGCUGCUGAGUGGAGGUGGCAAGGUGUUUGCUGAGGGAGAGGCAGAUCUCCCUACUGAUAUCAAGAGAAUCAGCUGAAAACAGGCCAAUAACAAUUUUUGGACUUUAAAGCAAGCUCUGUGGCUGUGCAGGAAGAAGGAGAUUUAGCAUUAUAAGCUACAAAUAAGAAACAAGUCAUUUGGAAAUAAAAGACUAGUCAAAGUGCAAAGAGGUUGUCUCAGGACAUGAUCUCUCUGAAAAAAAUGCCAAGAGAUUCACAAGCUGGACACAGAUCACUUGCUGAGUGUUUCAGGCUACUGUGAAGGUGUCAAAUGAAGACCACUUCAGGCAUCCAGGCAUCCAUAGCAAAGGCCCAGGGGCCAGAGAGACUGCGACCCUGCCCAACCUUUAAGCCACACUGUCUUGUGUGUCGAGGAUCAAAGGCAACAGAAAUAACA